rnacentral:tRNA from 1 species
UAUAAUUUAGUAUAGUAUGUACAUGGAUUUUUGAGGUCUAAGGGGAUAGUUUAAAUCUAUUAAUUAUAA